CAUUUUACAGAAAACCCCCUUGUUCAUUAGAUUUGCAUCCGCUGACCUCGUAGUCUUAUCCAUUUCUCUAGCGAUGGCGAUGGCGACGGCGACGGCGACGGGUUUCUCUGGCGACGGCGACGCCGCGACGGCGACGGGUUGAGGGCUGCGUAGACGGCGCGGCGAGGAGGGGCAUGUGCUGCGGAGACGGCGCGGCGAGGUGGGGCAGUGGCGGUUGUGCGGCGAGGCGGGGCAGGUGCUGCAGAGACGGGGCGCAGCGAGGCGGGGUAGUGGCGUCGCGGGGGAGGAUGGAGGACGCCGGAGCAGAGGACGACAGCUCCCGCCAUCGCUGCUGUCUGCGCGCGUCCGCGUACUCGCCUCCGUCCGCGCCCGCGCCGGAGCGCUGCUGUCUGCGCGCGUCCGCGUACUCGCCUCCGUCCGCACCCUUCAGCUCGCCUCUGCCAGCCGCGCCCUUCAGCUCGCCUCCGCCCGCGUCCUGCCGCGUCCCAACCGCGUUGGGAGGCCGCCUCUGCCUGCCGCGCUUGCCUUUGCUCACGCCCUGCAGCUGGCCUCCACCCUCGUCCUGCCGCGGUGAGCGCGAUCCUGCACCUGUGGCCGCGAGCAGGCAAAGCUGUGAGCUGUACGCUUCUGAAUCUCUGACGGACUUUUGCUCCCUUGUUUGAUUUGAAUCUCUGACGGAAAUCCUGCUCCCGUGUCCUUCUCAAACUCAUGCUCCCGUGUCCUUCUCAAACAAAGAAACCGCCCCGACCCGGAUUGGAGUUCACUGCUAUAAGUUGAAUUGUUCUUGGCCAGAAUCGUAAACCAGGCUAGCGCCACCAGUGAGCAGUGCACCGUCGCUUGGGUCGUAACACCAUGAUCACCAUCAUGUCGCCUUUGAGUACGUCGGAGGAACAGGCACCGAGUUCGCCUUUGAGUACGCCGGAGGAACCGGCACCAUGUUCGCCGGAAUUCUUGGUCCAGAGAAGCAUUGUGAGUCCAACGGUGGCUACAACAGAGGUGGCAAAGGCGUCCAAUCCAACUCAGGUGGAGGCCAAGGAGGUUCGGCUCUCGGACCUUGCACCAAUGAUGCUGGAUGAUACCGACGUGCAGACUAUGUUGUCGGUCGGGUGUCCUCUACUACCGAAGUUCCCCCACCAUCUGGUGGUGCUUGAGAGCAGAGACGGCAUACUUUCAUCAGCAGCGGCCAAACCCCCAGCGCCGCUGGUGCUGUACACCCCUGUACCCCUCGAUAUCCAGUGCCUCGCGUCUGCCCAACAUGAACACCUCCUCAAUAUGUACAUCUCUGAAUUUUGCCAUUGCUAGAGAAAGUAGAGCAUUGUUUUGCUGUAGCUAUAAUUUGAGUUUAGAAGAUAUACUCCUCUCUUUUUGACGUCAAUUUUUCAGUUGACACUUGUGCAGAAGCCCAAUGGGAUGAAAUUACGGACUACAGAGAGUCUGGCACAUUUCGGUGGCAAGAUUUUUGUACAGAGUGGCAGAUUUCAGAAAUUUGUAGAGCACAUGAUUAACAAGAAGAAGAUAUUCUGUCAAGCCAUGCAUAUCAACAAUCAGUCAAGCAAAGAAAUAUUCAUGGGAGAUAUACAGGGAUCCACAAGAAUGUGCACCGUAUGGCACUCCCCUUUUGUCAUCGAGCCACUAUCACAUUUUGGUCAGCAAUCAGUUCAAGCAAUUCUCAGCGCAAUUAGUCAGAAGUUGGAAUUUACAUCUGAACGAACAAUACAUCAAGCAACAGAAGAAAUAGUGGUCAUCUCUUUUUCUUUGCACCAAGAUGCCAUACAAGCAUUCAGACUUCGGAAUCGCACAAGCAGUUUAUAUAUAAAUGAUGUGCCAUAUCGUUUUAACAUGGACACUUCAAAAGAAUAUCUGCCAAGAGUGGUCGUUGAUCACUAUGAUUAUAGUA